rnacentral:tRNA from 1 species
AUAAGUUUGGCAGAUAAAUGUAUAAGGUUUAGAACCUCAUAAUAAAAGUUAAACUCUUUUAACUUAUA